UGUGUGGCUGGUCCCUGGAGCCGUGUUGGUUCCCCACGUCCUUCAAACUCCAGUUUCAGUCCACGUGUAACCUUUCUGCAAAGCCCUCUCUACGUUAGGUGCCCUCAGUGAGACUCCUCCUUUCUACCCAAAGACCCUGACUCACAGGAGCAAGAUGGAAACUGAGCAGGACACAGGAAGUAGAAGCACGGAGAAGCAGCAGCCCGGAGAAGCCAGAGCAGAAGGCGGCAACUCCCAAAAUGUGCCGAAGUGAGGGGAAUGGUGAAACAACACAGAAUGACCAUGGACAGUUGUACAGGAUAACAGGAAGGAAAACGCGGGGAGCUAGUUACCAGCACACUGCUGCCUCCAGGCUUCCUAUAGCUGCCAGUCUCAGUUUUGCCUCAAUGUUCCCUGAUUGGUAUCUCUUUUUACCACCCUGUAACCAAUUCACUGCACUACAUUCUAUUUUACAUGAGGACUACUUUCUGUUUUCCUGGUGGGACCGUGAUUGAUGUGCCAACGAUGAUAUCCUCAAGAGCUGUGUGCCAGCUCCCUUGUGAGAGGACCGGAUGUCCUUAUCAAAAGGGGAAAAUGUGGACAGAGACAGAGCAUACAUGCCCUGUGAAGACUGGUGUUACACUGCCAUGGGCCAAGGAACUACCACAAACUAGGAGGCGGCCCGUAACACAUCCUUCCCAGUGCCUUCAGAGGGAGCACGGCCCCUCCCAAAACCUGGACAACACAUCUUCUUAACAAAUCUGGAGAACAGAGCUGUGGUUGACGGGUUACUCUUCUGUCUGCCCCCAGCCCCCUUCCCCCUUCCACUGCUGUGAAAUCCACUGUUUUAAAGUUGAAACCAAAGCAACCUUGAUAGAAAUAUAAAACACCACAA